GACGAACGCUGGCGGCGUGCUUAACACAUGCAAGUCGAACGGAAAGGCCCUGCUUUUGUGGGGUGCUCGAGUGGCGAACGGGUGAGUAACACGUGAGUAACCUGCCCUUGACUUUGGGAUAACUUCAGGAAACUGGGGCUAAUACCGGAUAGGAGCUCCUGCUGCAUGGUGGGGGUUGGAAAGUUUCGGCGGUUGGGGAUGGACUCGCGGCUUAUCAGCUUGUUGGUGGAGUAGUGGCUUACCAAGGCUUUGACGGGUAGCCGGCCUGAGAGGGUGACCGGCCACAUUGGGACUGAGAUACGGCCCAGACUCCUACGGGAGGCAGCAGUGGGGAAUAUUGCACAAUGGGCGGAAGCCUGAUGCAGCAACGCCGCGUGCGGGAUGACGGCCUUCGGGUUGUAAACCGCUUUCGCCUGUGACGAAGCGUGAGUGACGGUAAUGGGUAAAGAAGCACCGGCUAACUACGG
rnacentral:rRNA from 1 species